UACGGAGGGUGCAAGCAUUAAUCGGAAUUAUUGGGCGUAAAGGGCGCGUAGGCGGAUUGGUAAGUCAAAUGUGAAAUUCCAAGGCUCAACUUUGGAGCUGCAUUUGAAACUGCUAGUCUAGAGGGAUGGCGGAGAAAACGGAAUUCCACGUGUAGCGGUGAAAUGCGUAGAUAUGUGGAGGAACACCUGUGGCGAAAGCGGUUUUCUAGCUAUUUCCUGACGCUGAGGCGCGAGAGCAAGGGGAGCAAACAGGAUUAGAUACCCUGGUAGUCCUUGCCGUAAACGAUGUAUACUUGGUGUAGAUAGGCUCAACCCUAUCUGUGUCGGAGCUAACGCGUUAAGUAUACCGCCUGGGGAGUACGCUCGCACGGGUGAAACUCAAAAGAAUUGACGGGGGCCCGCACAAGCAGUGGAGCAUGUGGUUUAAUUCGAUGCAACGCGAAGAACCUUACCCAGGUCUGAAAUAUAGGAGACAGCGCCAGAAACGGCGUUUCCCGCGAGGGCUGCUAUGUAGGUGCUGCAUGGCUGUCGUCAGCUCGUGCCGUGAGGUGUUUGGUUAAGUCCAGCAACGAGCGCAACCCUUAUCAUUAGUUGCCAACACGCAAGGUGGGGACUCUAAUGAGACUGCCUAGGUUAACUAGGAGGAAGGUGAGGAUGACGUCAAGUCCGCACGGCCUUUAUGUCUGGGGCUACACACGUGCUACAAUGGUCGGUACAGAAGGCAGCUAAAUCGCAAGAUGGAGCAAAUCCGUAAAGCCGAUCCCAGUUCAGAUUGUAGUCUGCAACUCGACUACAUGAAGUUGGAAUUGCUAGUAAUGACGUGUCAGCAACAACGUCGUGAAUACGUUCCCGGGCCU
rnacentral:rRNA from 1 species